GGUUGGUCAAUGAGCUGUCAGUCAGAGCAGUAGGCGGGCCUCCGAGCGGAAGUGAUGCACUAGGCCUAUCAUUCGGUUUGUAGCCCCUGGCUCGAGUUGUGUUGACGGCCCGGGUCCCGGUGCCCGGAACGAAGAUGUCAGACACAUGGAGCGACAUCCAGGCCCACAAGAAGCAGCUGCACAGUCUGAGGGAGAGGCUGCAGCGGAGGCGGAGGGAGCCAGGCGCCCAGACGGAGACUGUUCAGGGGGUGGGUGCCGGCCUCCGUAGUGACAGCCCAGUCCUGCCCGCUGCCCUACCACCCAGCAAACCGAGUGGCCUGGACCAGGACGAGAAGAUCGACCCCCUCCUCGAGAAGCGGCUGCUCGAGCACCUCUCCAACCAGGCUCUGCUUCUGCCCACCGACUCGCUUGCCAUCCAGAACACCUUGUUGUCGCUCCAGUGCUCGGUGACCCAGGGGAACGUGGAGAGCCUCCUGCAGAAGUUUGCGGCCCAGGAGCUGAUUGAGGUGCGAGGGGGCCUGUCCCAGGACGGCAUGCCCACCACCGUCACCUUUGCCGACCACACCAAGCUCUCGGCCAUGCUGGUGCUUCUGCCCCAGGAGGGCGAGCCGUCCCCGCCGCAGGCCGAGGGGGGCCAGAAGAGGCGGGCCCAGCCCCCUCCGGUUGGAUCCGCCCCCUCCCCGCCCGACAGGAAGCCACCCGAGCCCGCCAAGAAGUCCCGCAAGGUGGCCUCCGAACUGGACCUGGAGAUCGAGAGGCUGCUGAACCAGCAGUCCACCAAGGAGAGGCAGAGCAAGAAGAUGAGCCAGGAGAUCCUGGAGCUGCUGAACACCAGCACGGCGAAGGAACAGUCGAUGGUGGAGAAGUUCCGGUCGCGCGGCCGCGCCCAGGUGCAGGAGUUCUGUGACCACGGCACCAAGCUCGAGUGUAUGAGGGCCCAGGACCUGGAGCGGCCCUGCCGCAAACUCCACUUCAGGCGCAUCAUCAACAAGCACACGGACGAGUCUCUGGGCGACUGCUCCUUCCUCAACACCUGCUUCCACAUGGACACCUGCAAAUAUGUGCACUACGAGAUCGACAGCUGCCUGGACACCGGCCCAGUUCUGCCCCUGGACGGGCAGGGCUCCGACAAGCCCCUCACCCCCAGUGUGGGCACUGACCCCAGCCUGGGCAAGCUCUUCCCCCCACAGUGGAUCUGCUGUGACAUCCGGUUCCUGGACGUCAGCAUCCUGGGGAAGUUUGCCGUGGUGAUGGCCGACCCCCCCUGGGACAUCCACAUGGAGCUGCCGUACGGCACCCUCACCGACGACGAGAUGAGGAGGCUCAACAUUCCCGUGCUCCAAGAUGACGGCUUCCUCUUCCUCUGGGUCACUGGCAGGGCGAUGGAGUUGGGCCGUGAGUGUUUAAACCUCUGGGGCUAUGAGAGAGUGGAUGAGAUCAUCUGGGUGAAGACCAAUCAACUGCAGCGGAUCAUCCGGACCGGACGGACUGGCCAUUGGCUAAACCAUGGCAAGGAGCACUGCCUGGUGGGGGUGAAGGGAAACCCUCAGGGCUUCAACCGUGGGCUGGACUGUGAUGUCAUUGUGGCUGAGGUCCGAUCCACCAGCCACAAGCCAGACGAGAUCUAUGGGAUGAUCGAGCGACUGUCCCCAGGGACACGCAAAAUUGAACUGUUUGGGAGGCCGCACAACGUCCAGCCCAACUGGAUCACACUUGGGAACCAACUGGAUGGGAUCCACCUCCUCGACCCCGACGUUGUUGCUCGCUUUAAGAAGCGUUACCCUGACGGAGUUAUCACCAAGUGUAAGAUGGUGUGAGCUGUUUCCCGUGGGAGGUGUUUGGAGAGGACACCGUGCAGAAGCACUGCUGACACCAGGGCAAGGGUGAAUUGUCUGCUGUGGCAGCACAUUGUCCUUGAAUCGCUGUGGAACAUCCAGGUGGCAUUUUGCAAACUUGAGACGUGCAGCAAUAUGGUUUUUUUUUGGAGAUCAGCAGUUUCUUCCAUGAACACCAUUCUUAUUCAGUGUUUUUCUUAUAGUGGACACGGAACAGAGACUUUAACAAGUUCCAGAGAUUUCUGCAGGUGCAUUUCACCUCCAUCAGCAUUGCACAUUGUUCUCUUGGUGUGAUCUUUGCAUGAUGCCCACCCCUACGGAGAGGAGCUACGGUACUGUUCCCUCCACUUGUAGACAAUUUCCCUCUCAAAUUUCGGGGUGAAGUCUAUCAUAUUAUGAUCACUGGCUCCGAAGAGUUCCUUUACCUUAAGCUCCCUGAUCAAACCUGGUUCAUUACACAUUAGCCAAUCCAGAAUAGCCUUUCCUCUAGUGGGCUCAAUCACAAGCUACUUAUAGAAGUGUAUAUAAUCACAAGGGGCACAGAUAGGGUGAAUGUGCACAGACUUUUACCCCGGUGUUGGGGAAUCAAGAGCCAGAGGGCACAGGUUUAAGGUGAGAGGGGAAAGAUUUAAUAGGACCCCCAGGGACAACUUUUUCACCUAGAGUAAGGGUUCCCAACUUGAGGUUUGCAGAGCGCUUGGUUAAUAGUAGGGGUCCGUGGCAUAAAAAAGGGGGUGGUCCAUACAUGGAGUGAGUGGUUGAGGCAAAUACAUAGUACAUUAACAGUAUUUAAAAGGCAUUUGGACAGGUACACGCACAGGGAAGGCUUAGAACAGGGAUUUCUAACCUGGGAUUAAUGGACCCCUCAGAUAAUGGUUAAAAAAAAAGAUUGGGAGCCCCAGGCUUGGAGGGUUAUGGGCUAAAGGCAGCCACAGGGGUCUUGCUUGGCGGGUGUGUUAGUGCUGUGUGGCUCACUUCACUUAGCAGGGAGGAAGCAAUAAAAGUGCCAGUCAUGGCAGGUGUGGGUAUUGGAGACAUUCAGGGGCUAAAGGCAGACAAAGCACCAGGAACUGAUGGACUGCAUUCAGACGUGGCUCCAGAGAUCGUAUCAUCGUGAUUUUCAGAACUCUACAGGGUCCAGAUGGCUGAAAAACAGCCAGUGUAACUCCCUUAUGCAAAAAGAGAGGGCAGGGUAGUCGAGAAUCAGAGGAAAUAACACAUCCCUCUGGAAAACCAUACCUAACCAAAUCUGGUCAAUGAAUGUAAAACACACAAAAUGCUGGAGGGAUGCAGCAAGCCAGAUAGGAUCUAUGGAAAUGAAUAAAGAGCUGAUGUUUCAUGAUUUAAUGAAAUGUUUGAGAAGUUAGCUCGAAUAAUGAAGUCACACAGAGAGCUGAUAGUGAGGAAUGUGUCAAGCCACAUUUUAUCAUUGUGCACACAUGAACAGAUAAACUGGAAAGUGUAAAUAGCAGAAGAUAGGGAGUGCACAGACUAACCCCACCCACCCAUUAGAUAUUGUCUUCUCACAGUGGGGUGUCAGGAUCCCAGCCUCUCCAACCUGCUUUAGUGGCCACUAUCAGGCAGGUUGGGUGGAGUUCCUGGUCACUGGGGAGCCCCAGGUUGUGGAUGGAGAGGGAAAUCACAGGUGGGUGUUACUGGGAGAUCUUCCCAGCCUCCUGUCAGUCCAUGCCCAAAAGUUUCCUGGGUACACUGAGUGGGACUGAACACAAUGUCAUCACCCUCACUUCUGAAAGAAAUGACACUGAGGAAGCUGCUGGACAUGACUGGGGCUCAGGGUUCUACCAGGACUUGGAUUGGGAAGUCCGACCUCAGGACGCUCUGUUCCACGCUGCCUUGUUGUCUGGGGUCAGUCAUUCCCACCUGACCACUGGAGUUCGGAGCUGUUGAUGCAUUUGGACUGGGGUCUGGUUGGAUUCUGGGGCUGUGUGGUGCUGGACAAGCAUCAGUAAUACUUCUGUGAAGGAGAUGCCACCAGAGAGCAUGCUUGCUGAUGCCCACCUCUCUCCUGCUGCUGUAGGCAGGCUAAUAAUUAGCUGGAUUGGAUUAGGGUACACAGGGCUUUGGGGCACCUUCACUGUGGACGGGGCAGCGAUGUUAUAUCUGACACUGGCCUUCAUUCAGGGCAUGUCCACAGAAGUUGAGCGGUCACGUUGCAGUUGUACAAGACGAUGGUGAGGCCGCAGCUGGGUUCAGUUUUGGUCGCUCUGUAAUGGGAAGGGUGUCACUAAGCUGGAGAGGGUGCAGAAAAGAUUCCUCAGGAUGAUACCAGUACUGGAGGGCUGGAAUUAUAAGGUGACAGUAGCAUAUUGGUUAGCACAACACUUUACAGUAUCAGCAACCCAGGUUUAAUUCCUGCUGCUGUCUGUUAAGGGGUUUGUAUGUUCUCUCAGUGACCCCAUGGGUUUUCCUCCCACAGUUCAAAGACGUACCAGCUGGUAGAUUCAUUGGGCGUUGGUCUAGGGGUAUUGUGUAGCUGUCCCAGACAAGAGUGGAGAGGUGGGAAUCAGGACUGGCUGGAAAAAUGGCAUUUGGAAUUUCAUGCUGACCAGUGCAAUAUGUUGCACUCGGGAGGACCAACCAGGGUAGGGCUUGCACAGUGAACAGUAGGGAGCUAUAACAGAGGGUACUGGGAAUACAGAUGUAGUCUUGAAAAUGACAUCACAGGUAAAUAAGGCCAUAAAGAAUACAGUGGGGCACAAUGAGACCAGAACAUUUUGGUCCAAAUAAGCAGCUGCUCCAAUUAGUUGAAGUUUGGAAAUAGUUAAAAAGGUAUGUUUAAAAAAAGUCAAACUACUAUUUAACUUAAGUAAUAAAUGAUGCAUUUUACAAUUUAAUUUUUAUGAACACGGUUUUGUGAUUGUAACUACUUUUAAUACAAUGUAUUUGGUACUAUUUUGUUUUUUUCUUUUAACAUCUUGUAUUCUGUAUUCCUCAAUGCAGAAACUAAUGAAAAUAUUGAAAGAUAACUGAUGCAUUUAAAUGAAAUACAGAAUAAAUUAGAACACUACCCGUC